rnacentral:rRNA from 1 species
AGACAGUGUCAGGCGGGCAGUUUGACUGGGGCGGUCGCCUCCUAAAAGGUAACGGAGGCGCUCAAAGGUUCCCUCAGAAUGGUUGGAAAUCAUUCAUAGAGUGUAAAGGCAUAAGGGAGCUUGACUGCGAGACCUACAAGUCGAGCAGGGUCGAAAGACGGACUUAGUGAUCCGGUGGUUCCGCAUGGAAGGGCCAUCGCUCAACGGAUAAAAGCUACCCCGGGGAUAACAGGCUUAUCUCCCCCAAGAGUUCACAUCGACGGGGAGGUUUGGCACCUCGAUGUCGGCUCAUCGCAUCCUGGGGCUGUAGUCGGUCCCAAGGGUUGGGCUGUUCGCCCAUUAAAGCGGUACGCGAGCUGGGUUCAGAACGUCGUGAGACAGUUC